GGACUACGAUUUCACUCAACCCAUGUGACGUUACCAAACUGUUGCCUCGGCGGGAUCUCUGCCCCGGGUGCGUCGCAGCCCCGGACCAAGGCGCCCGCCGGAGGACCAACCAAAACUCUUUUUGUAUACCCCCUCGCGGGUUUUUUAUAAUCUGAGCCUUCUCGGCGCCUCUCGUAGGCGUUUCGAAAAUGAAUCAAAACUUUCAACAACGGAUCUCUUGGUUCUGGCAUCGAUGAAGAACGCAGCGAAAUGCGAUAAGUAAUGUGAAUUGCAGAAUUCAGUGAAUCAUCGAAUCUUUGAACGCACAUUGCGCCCGCCAGUAUUCUGGCGGGCAUGCCUGUCCGAGCGUCAUUUCAACCCUCGAACCCCUCCGGGGGGUCGGCGUUGGGGAUCGGCCCUGCCUCUUGGCGGUGGCCGUCUCCGAAAUACAGUGGCGGUCUCGCCGCAGCCUCUCCUGCGCAGUAGUUUGCACACUCGCAUCGGGAGCGCGGCGCGUCCACAGCCGUUAAACACCCAACUUCUGAAAUGUUGACCUCGGAUCAGGUAGGAAUACCCGCUGAACUUAAGCAUAUCAAUAAGCGGAGGAAACU
rnacentral:rRNA from 1 species